GGAGCAGUCCUGGUGGCGAGUGGCGAACGGGUGAGUAAUACAUCGGAACGUGUCCUGUAGUGGGGGAUAGCCCGGCGAAAGCCGGAUUAAUACCGCAUACGACCUACGGGUGAAAGCGGGGGACCGCAAGGCCUCGCGCUACAGGAGCGGCCGAUGUCAGAUUAGCUAGUUGGUGGGGUAAAGGCCUACCAAGGCGACGAUCUGUAGCUGGUCUGAGAGGACGACCAGCCACACUGGGACUGAGACACGGCCCAGACUCCUACGGGAGGCAGCAGUGGGGAAUUUUGGACAAUGGGGGCAACCCUGAUCCAGCCAUGCCGCGUGCGGGAAGAAGGCCUUCGGGUUGUAAACCGCUUUUGUCGGGGAAGAAACGGUCUGCGCUAAUACCGCAGGCUUAUGACGGUACCCGAAGAAUAAGCACCGGCUAACUACGUGCCAGCAGCCGCGGUAAUACGUAGGGUGCAAGCGUUAAUCGGAAUUACUGGGCGUAAAGCGUGCGCAGGCGGCUUUGCAAGACAGAUGUGAAAUCCCCGGGCUCAACCUGGGAACUGCAUUUGUGACUGCAUGGCUGGAGUGCGGCAGAGGGGGAUGGAAUUCCGCGUGUAGCAGUGAAAUGCGUAGAUAUGCGGAGGAACACCGAUGGCGAAGGCAAUCCCCUGGGCCUGCACUGACGCUCAUGCACGAAAGCGUGGGGAGCAAACAGGAUUAGAUACCCUGGUAGUCCACGCCCUAAACGAUGUCAACUGGUUGUUGGACGGCUUGCUGUUCAGUAACGAAGCUAACGCGUGAAGUUGACCGCCUGGGGAGUACGGCCGCAAGGUUGAGACUCAAAGGAAUUGACGGGGACCCGCACAAGCGGUGGAUGAUGUGGUUUAAUUCGAUGCAACGCGAAAAACCUUACCUACCCUUGACAUGCCAGGAACUUACCAGAGAUGGUUUGGUGCUCGAAAGAGAGCCUGGACACAGGUGCUGCAUGGCCGUCGUCAGCUCGUGUCGUGAGAUGUUGGGUUAAGUCCCGCAACGAGCGCAACCCUUAUCAUUAGCUGCUACGCAAGGGCACUCUAAUGAGACUGCCGGUGACAAACCGGAGGAAGGUGGGGAUGACGUCAGGUCAUCAUGGCCCUUAUGGGUAGGGCUACACACGUCAUACAAUGGCCGGUACAGAGGGCUGCCAACCCGCGAGGGGGAGCCAAUCUCAGAAAACCGGUCGUAGUCCGGAUCGCAGUCUGCAACUCGACUGCGUGAAGUCGGAAUCGCUAGUAAUCGCGGAUCAGCUUGCCGCGGUGAAUACGUUCCCGGGUCUUGUACACACCGCCCGUCACACCAUGGGAGCGGGUUCUGCCAGAAGUAGUUAGCCUAACCGCAAGGGGGGCGAUUACCACGGCAGGGUUCGUGACUGGGGUGAAGUCGAAACAAGGUA
rnacentral:rRNA from 1 species